AAUAGAUACCCGGGUAGUCCACGCCGUAAACGAUGAGUGCUAAGUGUUAGAGGGUUUCCGCCCUUUAGUGCUGCAGCUAACGCAUUAAGCACUCCGCCUGGGGAGUACGGUCGCAAGACUGAAACUCAAAGGAAUUGACGGGGGCCCGCACAAGCGGUGGAGCAUGUGGUUUAAUUCGAAGCAACGCGAAGAACCUUACCAGGUCUUGACAUCCCACUGACCGGUAUAGAGAUAUACCUUUCCCUUCGGGGACAGUGGUGACAGGUGGUGCAUGGUUGUCGUCAGCUCGUGUCGUGGGAUGUUGGGUUAAGUCCCGCAACGAGCGCAACCCUUGAUCUUAGUUGCCAGCAUUUAGUUGGGCACUCUAAGGUGACUGCCGGUGACAAACCGGAGGAAGGUGGGGAUGACGUCAAAUCAUCAUGCCCCUUAUGACCUGGGCUACACACGUGCUACAAUGGAUGGUACAAAGGGCUGCAAGACUGCGAAGUCAAGCCAAUCCCAUAAAACCAUUCUCAGUUCGGAUUGCAGGCUG
rnacentral:rRNA from 1 species